ensembl:lncRNA
GUUGUCAACACACAGUGGACUAGAGCCAUGACUCACACAACCACAAGUCAUGAAUGUGAUCCAGGCAAGCGUACUGUCUAUGAUGGCUCAGUGUUCAUGGCCGUGUGCUGCUCAGCUAAACGAACAACGAGGAGGGUUCGGUGGUUUGUACGAUGUACCAAUGUAAUCCAUGCAAACCUGCACAAAACGCAACCCUACAAGUCUACCCCAGAUGACCAGAUGGAAUCAUCCUGCACGGAUGUGGUCAUAUCCAGAGAUGGCACCAGUGUUCGCUUCGCGGAGUAUGAACAUGUAACAUCAAAGGGCAGAGUGCUCAUUUCCUGGGGAGACUUGGCUAAAUUUGACAAAGACAUUGGAGAGGGCCUGGGUUUACACGAAUCACUUUUGUUAAAUAUCAUCGUACCGACACAAUAUCAUCAUAUAGCGUAACGACCCUGGGUUUAUAAGCGUGGAUAGCGACUCUCUGCUUGAAUAUGCUUUUGGGGCACAGUCGAUAGCGCGCUGGACUUCAGGCUAGAAGGUCGAGGGUUCGAGUCCCGCUCCCUGCCUGUUUCAUUACGCUAUAGUUUACUAUCGCUAUAUUUCUGUGCUACAGAAAUUAUCUGACAGUUCCAAACUCAAUCAGAAGCUUUUCUACAUUUUAUUCAAGUAGUUUAAUCCAUUUUUAUUCAAGUAGUAUAUUUGCCAUUUGCAAGUACCUAUUAAAAGUAAUAUAUUGGAAUUAUUAUUUGGAGCUCUCUCACAUAUAGUAGGUCUACAUAGUACACAGAGGUAGACAGUAUAACAGUCACACGGAACAAAUAAAACCUUUAUAAAAUCCUCUAUGACGUCGUGUUCAGCUCCAGGUUGUUUCCGCUGCACAUCGCUGUUAGACACUGCGCUUCUUGUCUGUCUAUAGGCUGUCUCGUCGUUGUUAUUGACGACACUUAUGACGUUUUUAGUCUCACAAUGGAUUCUGAGGACCCCCCCUUUUAUUAUAGUGCUGUGAUAAUACAAACAUACAGCCUCCUUAAUAUCUAAACAUAUUAUUUGAAUGACUGAAGACGGAGAGUUCUGCAUGAAAGAUAUAUUUUAUUAUUGUCAGUGACAUGGCACACAACCAUUGGUUGAUGCAAUGUAGCGUGUCAAUUGUAGUUGGCCUCGUAGGAUUUUCAAUGGGCUGUGCUGCAGAGGAGCUCAGCAUUUCUUCCGAAUCUCUCUCCCCCCUCAGCUAUGCUGGUGUGUAAAGUGGUGAAGUUCUCACGGUGGCAGUAGAGAGACGCCGAUGAAGUGUGUAUCAGUCUUGCUGGUGGCUGGCAGCGACGGCAGAGCAGAGCGUGACAUGCCAGUGGUUUUUCCUGAUGGGAUGUGUUUUCUUGGUCUUGGAUCCACGGAGUGAGGGCAGAAUGUUCCAUUUAUUCUAUGGAUCUUUCCUUCCCGUCUUAUUUCUGACACCAUGGCAUGAUCCAGAGCAGGGCGGUGUAACUGGGUGAUUCAACAUCACGGUUAUAGUGAUCGGAAGAGACACGGAGGAUUUUGCAACAAGUGCAAGUAGGAAAACAGUCAUUACACCUUUCCCCUUCAUAAUCAACGCAGUUCUCUCUGGCAGUGUUCAAGCCUCAGCAGCAGUCAAUCGGAGUGUUUCUGGCUGAUUUGUUCUUCUGAUGAUGAUGGUUGGCAGCUCCCUUAUGGUUUCUUCGGACAGCUCAGUGUCAGUGAGUAGAGACGCAGUGCUGGUUUUAUAGUGACUUGUAUUUCCAUUCACUUACAAAAGUGAGACACAUUUCUCCAGUAGAUUAGUAGUACGCUUCGACCGGGUAGGUCAACUUACUGCCUACUAUUUUCUAUCCAGUACAGCUUGGUUUUACAGUGACUGACUUGACUUAACAUUGGUCGGACAAUUCAGCCGUGGUUGGAUGUUCUCAUGUGAAAGACUCGUCCUGCGGAGCUACAACCGAGAUAGUAGAGCUGCGCAUCGAUUUGACUGGUGUCGUAACGCAGCCGUGUCCCUUCCUCUGACUGCCAUCGUCCUCACAGAGCCCAGCCUAACUUCUCCGUGCCGGCAACACUACAGCAGCUCCUCGGAGUGAAGCCGCUUUUUGAGCGUCAAACCAGCAGACUAAUCCAACUGACAUAACCAUGUCCCCGUGUCCUCUGUCCCCUUUUCUUAAAUAUCAUCGAACCUACACAAUAUCAUUAUAUAGUGUAACGACCCUGGGUUUAUAAGCGUGGAUAGCGACUCUCUGCUUGAAUAUGCUUUUGGGGCACAGUCGUUAGCGCGCUGGACUUCGGGCUAGAAGGUCGAGGGUUCGAGUCCCGCUCCCUGCCUGUUUCAUUACGCUAUAGUUUACUAUCGCUAUAUUUCUGUGCUACAGAAAUUAUCUGACAGUUCCAAACUCAAUCAGAAGCUUUUCUACAUUUUAUUCAAGUAGUUUAAUCCAUUUUUAUUCAAGUAGUAUAUUUGCCAUUUGCAAGUACCUAUUAAAAGUAAUAUAUUGGAAUUAUUAUUUGGAGCUCUCUCACAUAUAGUAGGUCUACAUAGUACACAGAGGUAGACAGUAUAACAGUCACACGGAACAAAUAAAACCUUUAUAAAAUCCUCUAUGACGUCGUGUUCAGCUCCAGGUUGUUUCCGCUGCACAUCGCUGUUAGACACUGCGCUUCUUGUCUGUCUAUAGGCUGUCUCGUCGUUGUUAUUGACGACACUUAUGACGUUUUUAGUCUCACAAUGGAUUCUGAGGACCCCCCUUUUAUUAUAGUGCUGUGAUAAUACAAACAUACAGCCUCCUUAAUAUCUAAACAUAUUAUUUGAAUGACUGAAGACGGAGAGUUCUGCAUGAAAGAUGUAUUUUAUUAUUGUCAGUGACAUGUUACACAACCAUUGGUUGAUGCAAUGUGGCGUGUCAAUUGUAGGCGGCCUCGUAGGAUUUUCAAUGGGCUGUGCUGCAGAGGAGCUCAGCAUUUCUUCCGAAUCUCUCUCCCCCUCAGCUAUACCGGUGUGUUAGGGGUGAAGUUCACAAUGGGAGCCGAGACUAUCGCACGGUGGCAGUAGAGAGACGCGGAUGAAGUGUGUAUCAGUCUUGCUGGUGGCUGGCAGCGACGGCAGAGCAGAGCGUGACAUGCCAGUGUUUUUCCUGAUGGGAUGUGUUUUCUUGGUCUUGGAUCCACGGAGUGAUGGCAGAAUGUUCCAUUUAUUCUAUGGAUCUUUCCUUCCCGUCUUAUUUCUGCCACCAUGGCAUGAUCCAGAGCAGGGCGGUGUAACUGGGUGAUUCAACAUCACGGUUAUAGUGAUCGGAAGAGACACGGAGGAUUUUGCAACAAGUGCAAGUAGGAAAACAGUCAUUACACCUUUCCCCUUCAUAAUCAACGCAGUUCUCUCUGGCAGUGUUCAAGCCUCAGCAGCAGUCAAUCGGAGUGUUUCUGGCUGAUUUGUUCUUCUGAUGAUGAUGGUUGGCAGCUCCCUUCUGGUUUCGUUUUACAGCGUAGAGUGUCAGUGAGUAGUGCUGGUUAUAUAGUGACUUGUAUUUCCAUUCACUUACAUCCACGGUUUUAUCCAACCGAGACCGUUAUCCAAACGAGGCUUUAUAUCCAACCAGGCCGUUUUUUCCAACCGAGGUUGUUUCUCAGUUUUUAUUUUUAUUAUUAUUAUUUUUUCCGAACAUGACUAGUAUGCAGUGUGAUACAAUAUUGAAAUGUGAAAUGAAAUACAUUUUUUUAUUAUAUUCUGGUUGGUUUGUUUCCGUUUUAUUCAACAAAGCACCACCUUGUACACAUACGCAUACAUAGAUACGGCUUCGGUCUGGAAUCGAAAUGAGUCAAACGACUUCAAGCUUUGACAACUUUGAAAUAGUAGCCAGGGGAGAAGUUCACUCUGGCACUGAGUUCGUGUAGUGGAGGCUCAGGGCGGCUCUGCUUCAUGUAGAGGAAGCCCCUGGAAAUUGACUACGCAUUAAACUUUUUUUUUUUUUUACAUUAUGUUAUCAUACUGUCAUACUCUGCCUCCCUAAAUGUCUAUUACCUCAAUGAACGAGGUGAUAUAAUAUUGAAAUGUGAAAUUAAAGACAUGACUAUAUUCUGGUUGGUUGGUUUCCGUUUUAUUCAACAAAGCACCACGUUGUACACAUAAGCAUACAUAUAUAUAUUUUUUUGAAAAAUAAUUUUUAUUUUAAUUUCACAUUCAAAUACAAUGACAAAUUCAGUGUAUAACAUGGAUUGUUACAAACAGUAUUAAAAAGUACCGUAACAAUAUAAGAAUAUCAAAACUCCUAAAAAAAAAGUGCUGUUCUGCAGAUACGGUUUCGGGCUGGGAUGGAAAUGAGUGAAAGGCUUUGACAAGUUUAGAAAUAACAGUCAAGGGAGAUGUUCACUCUUACACCGUCGCUGACAGACUGAGAGUGUUUUGGGUUUGGGACUAUGAACGGGGCGGAGCUACAGUAGCUAUCCAAUCAUAGCUGACUGGUACAUUCCACCACGCCUCUAUUUUCCGAACAUGACUCUAGUAUGCAGCUACGGCUGAGCCAUUCAACAGUGGCCGAUACAGCUAUCCACUCCCGGCUGACUCGUCCAACUAUGGCUGUAUUCUGAAGUGUCCAACCGUGGCUCUGUUAUUUAUUCCUAACUAACAACCCAUCCUAUCAUUUUACCACAACAACAGAGAAAUGACCGUCUAGUGUCCUUCUG